GCCAGCAGAAGCAACAGUCUGUUAUGAUACAAACACAACUGAAUACAUUGGAAAGGAUAUGAUGCUAUACUCAAAAAGCUGUCAUAUGGGGCUUGUGGAAGUGGCUUAAACACCACGGAUGCAAUCCAGGACCAUUAACACUGAAAGAAGAUAUGCUGUUAAUUUCAGUACAAGGAAACCUUGACAGGUGUCAUCAACCCACUACCACCACCACACAGUUGGUAGCAUCCAUAUGAUUCAGCAACAUCAAAUUUGCACUGAUUUGGAAUACUGUCAAGUAAUACCAGAACAACGAAGUGAAACUACUGUGGUUCAGAAGAUGAGUGCACUUUUUUUUCUGUAAGAAGUCCCAGGUUCAUCUCUGGAAUCAGUACGAUGGGAAAGAAACUGCUCUGCUUGAGAUUUUGGAAAACUGCUUGCUGUCAGAAUGGUCAGUUGUGAGCUACAGGGACCUACGAUCUGACUAAUAGUCAAAAAGGCCAUGGGAUAAAAUAAGCAUUUCAGGAAAACAAAAUUAGUAUUGUUGCAGCUGCAAUGGAGACCCUUUUGCUUUAU